UACGUAGGGGCCUAGCGUUGUCCGGAAUUACUGGGCGUAAAGCGCACGUAGGCGGCUUUGUAAGUUAGAGGUGAAAGCCCGGGGCUCAACUCCGGAAUUGCCUUUAAGACUGCAUCGCUCGAAUUGUGGAGAGGUAAGUGGAAUUCCGAGUGUAGAGGUGAGAUUCGUAGAUAUUCGGAAGAACACCAGUGGCGAAGGCGACUUACUGGACACAUAUUGACGCUGAGGUGCGAAAGCGUGGGGAGCAAACAGG
rnacentral:rRNA from 1 species